rnacentral:rRNA from 1 species
UACAGAGGGGGCGAGCGUUAUUCGGAAUUAUUGGGCGUAAAGGGCGCGUAGGCGGCUUUUCAAGUGACAGGUGAAAUCCCUCGGCUUAACCGAGGAACUGCCUGUCAGACUGGAAGGCUUGAGACCGGGAGAGGUGAGUGGAAUUCCCAGUGUAGCGGUGAAAUGCGUAGAUAUUGGGAGGAACACCAGUGGCGAAGGCGGCUCACUGGACCGGAACUGACGCUGAGGCGCGAAAGCGUGGGGAGCAAACAGG